rnacentral:rRNA from 1 species
UACAGAGGAUGCAAGCGUUAUCCGGAAUGAUUGGGCGUAAAGCGUCUGUAGGUGGCUUUUUAAGUCCGCCGUCAAAUCCCAGGGCUCAACUCUGGACAGGCGGUGGAAACUACCAAGCUGGAGUACGGUAGGGGCAGAGGGAAUUUCCGGUGGAGCGGUGAAAUGCGUAGAGAUCGGAAGGAACACCAGUGGCGAAGGCGACUGUCUGGCCAGAUACUGACGCUGAGGCGCGAAAGCGUGGGGAGCAAACAGG